UGGCAGUCAGAGGCGAUGAAGGACGUAUUAACUUGCGAUAAGCCCAGAUUAGGUAGUAAAAACCAUUUGAGUCUGGGAUUUCCGAAUGGGGAAACCCACUUACAUAAGUAAGUAUCGUUAUGUGAAUACAUAGCAUAACGAGGCGAACCGGGGGAACUGAAACAUCUAAGUACCCCGAGGAAAAGAAAUCAACCGAGAUUCCGAAAGU
rnacentral:rRNA from 1 species